GCUACAUAGCGAGUUCCAGUUCAGUCUCAAAAAACCGGGAAAAAAAAAAAAAAAGAAUUAGAAAGUAUGUAAAGGAAAGCAAGCACAGGUAGAUGAUAUGAAAAAUUUGAUGAGUAGCAAACUUGACCAGUGUGAGAAAGUUGUGAGAAAUAGAUGACAGAGUAGUGGGGUGUAAGUAGAUCUUCUUAAUCUCGGUGGUACCCUAAAAAUGACAAACCACCAUGCCAGUUGAAUCCAAGAACUGCUAGAUAACUCAAAACCAACCUCAGAAUUAAUAGGAAUAAGUGAAAAUUUAAAAAAUGCCUCAAAAAAUUUAGGGAGAACAUAGCAGAAAGUUUUCCAAAUCUUAUAAAAUAAUUUAGUGUUCAAGCAUAAGAGGCAUAUAUGUCCCCAAAUAGCCAUAACUAGAAAAGAGCCUCUCCAUGACACAUCAUAAUCACAUAUCCAGAAAUUCAAGCAGAGAGUACUAAAAACUGUUAGAGUAAAAGGAGAAAUGACAUGGAAAGGUGAGCCCAUUUGAAUAACUGUGAAUUACUCAGCAUAAACUUUAAAAGCCAAGAGCAUUUGUAGUGAAGUUUAUCCAGCCCUAAUAGGAAACAGUUGUUAACCCAGACCAGUGAGGAUGAAUCUUUUAGAGCUUUCAAUAAUAAAAACAGCCCACUGCAGUAUGAGUGCCAUAGGUUCACCACGCAGGACCUAGACUUUUAUGUCCUGCAAAACUAAUGUUUGAAAUUGACAGAGAAGUAGACUUUCCACAACAAGGAAAGCCUAAAGAAAUACAUGACCACUAAACCAGUAUUGCAGUAAAUCCUCAAGGGAGCCCCAGAAGGCCACCUGCACUAAGGAACCCAAAGCAAAGUAUACAUCUAACUGGGGAAAGUAGUUAAAUAAAAGGAAAAUAAUCGGCCCUGGAAAAAUAAUGAAAUGACAGGACUUAAAAAAAUUUUAUAAUAAUGACUCUCAAUAUCAGUGUUUUCAACUUCUCAAUCAAAAGACAUAGAUGGGAGAUUGGUUAAAAAGACCAAAAUGCAACCAAAUAAUUGAAAUAACUCUGUGUACUGUCAGAUCAUAGCAAAUGAAACUAGAAAUCAACAGUAAAGGAAGCCACAGAAACCUCAAAAACACAUGGCGAUAAAAUAAUAUUACUGAGUAGUCAGUGAAUCACAGAACUCAGAAGUUCCUGGAGUCAAAUGAUAAGCAAAGCACACUAAAAUUUAUGGCACACAAUGAAAGACGAUUAUAGCUGUAAAAUGCACAUAUAAAAAGAAUAAAAUGAUCCAAAUAAAUAACCCAAUGAUGCAUCUCAUGGUCCUAGAAAGACAAGAACACUCCAAAUCUGAAACUAAUACAAGGAAAGAAAUUACAGAUAGGAACAGAAAUUAAUGAAAUUGAGAUUAAAAAAACAAUACAAAGGAUCAUUGAGUCAAAGAAUUGAUUUAAAGGUAUCAGUUCUCAUAAGGAAUGUAUUUACUGUGUAAUGAAAACAUAUUACUAAUAAAAAAUAGGGAAAAAAUAAUACAUCCAGAUUACACCCAUACCCCUUAGACCAGACCCCACCUCUGAACACAAGAGCUUUGGAGGACGUUUUGGGAGAAGGGCAAUUUAGAUCUAAGCCAUAGCAACACCCAUUGAACACUUUGAAAAGUGGCAUUUCAGUACUUAUGGCUUUAUAUGUUUUUUUUUGUUUUGCUUUUUAAUACUGCAGAUUGAAUCCAGGAUGUGGUGCAUGCCAACCAACUCUUCUACCAGAGUUACAAAGCCAGCCCUGUGUGCACUUUUAAGUGAUGGUGGAAUUGAUUAAAGCUGGAUGAUUAACAUGAGCGUGAGAAGAAAAAACUGGAUCACUUACCAGUAACUGGAGUUCUCCUAUUGGGUAAUCUCCACAGAUCCACAUUCUUUGAAGUUAUUGUGAAUGCCUCGAGGACCAAGGAACCGUUGAAAUUUCCAAUGUCAGGAAGUUCCUGUGGAGGCCCAUCAGGAAGAUUCUCCUGCUGGACAGAAGGGCAAGAGAUCUGUGGAUCUGUGAGGGAAAAGACCCAAUAGGAGAACUCAAGUUACUGGAAACCGCGACCAGUCUCCCAGUUGGUUGCACAGCAGGUCACUCAGCAGUUUGUGCCCCCUACACAGUCAAAGAAAGAGAAA